rnacentral:lncRNA from 1 species
UUCCAUGUGCUUAAGGGAUAGCAUACAGCAUGCUGUCUGCCACAGUAGUUUGUUUGCACUGAAAUUAAGCAAUAAUGAUUGAGGCACAGAGCAUUUCCUGGGGAUUAAUGACCGCCUGAGAGGAACUGAUGGCCCAAAGAACAGCUCCUGGCCAUUAACCCCAGCCAGUCAUUAAUCCAAAGGAAAUGCCCUGCCCCAAGGUCGUUAUUACUCCUAGAAAAUGAAAACGAAGAAAAACAAACCCGUAAGGACCUAGGUAUUUGUUCUGUGUGGUGAAGUUUCAAAUCAUUUUGUGUGUGCAGAUUUUGAUAAAACAAAUACUUUACCAGUUAUUUAGCUGGAGUGCUCGGUUCUGUCUAAAGCAUCUUGAUAUCAUCUAGACCUACAGAGUUGCCAAGAGGCUAACAGGAGAAACAUGAUCUUCUUUUCACCUUUAUUAAUCUGUUUCUCAGUACGGAAUGCAACUUAUAUUUAAUUCUAAUGUGAUUUAAGCAAGGUGAACUUCAAGAGUAUGGCAACAAUUCAAGGAAAAGAAACUGAUGAAGAUAAAGGUUCACAAAGAAGUUGAGGAACAAGAACCGUGAGCAGCCAGAUUCCUCUGAGCCAGCGUGGUGAUGGCUGCAGCCUCUUCUCUCCUUGAGCACAGACGCAGACCCAGCUGAGGGGAACUACUUGCAAGCUGUUGAGGGAGCCACAAAUGCGUAUUUGUUACUUCCUCACUCUGUGAAAAGGAACCAAACCUCCAUUGGAAAUGCCAUGCUUCAGCCAGUGCAGACUGCAAUGCAGAGGCUCAGAAUGUCCUACAAACGAGACUUAGAGAGAUACAAAACAAAGAAGUGAAGAUGUGUAAGACAAUGCCUACAUUCAUCCUGCUGUUUACAGCACUUCUAAUAAUCAGACUUGAAGAAUAAGUCAGUCUGUUGUAUUUAAAGAAAUCCCUUGCAAGUACAGAAAGAGACACAUGCCAAUAAAAGGUAAGGCUUCUUUUUGCA